UGUGGGCGUUAGAGCAUUGAGAGGACCUUUCCCUAGUACGAGAGGACCGGGAAGGACGCACCUCUGGUGUACCAGUUAUCGUGCCUACGGUAAACGCUGGGUAGCCAAGUGCGGAGAGGAUAACUGCUGAAAGCAUAUAAGUAGUAAGCCCACCCCAAGAUAAGUGCUCUCUCCUCCGACUUCCCUAG
rnacentral:ncRNA from 1 species